CAGGACUCGCAAGACUCCUACAACCCUGUGAACUUAACUAUAAGCACGCUGCUUCGGCGGGUAUCGGCGAGGGUCCUCCCUCCCGGGCGCUAAGACCGCAGGAAGCCUACUUUAUUACUCUGUUCUCUGCGUGGCAUCUCGAGUACAAUCAAAGUA
rnacentral:misc_RNA from 1 species